rnacentral:rRNA from 1 species
UACAGAGGGUGCGAGCGUUAAUCGGAAUUACUGGGCGUAAAGCGCACGUAGGUGGCGACGUAAGUCGGGUGUGAAAGCCCCGGGCUCAACCUGGGAAUUGCAUUCGAGACUGCAUUGCUGGAGUACGGAAGAGGAGGGCGGAAUUCCCGGUGUAGCGGUGAAAUGCGUAGAUAUCGGAAGGAACAUCAGUGGCGAAAGCGGCUUCCUGGACCAGUACCGACGUUCAGGCACGAAAGCGUGGGGAGCAAACAGG